GACGAACGCUGGCGGCGUGCCUAAUACAUACAAGUAGAACGCACAGUUUAUACCGUAGCUUGCUACACCAUAGACUGUGAGUUGCGAACGGGUGAGUAACGCGUAGGUAACCUGCCUGGUAGCGGGGGAUAACUAUUGGAAACGAUAGCUAAUACCGCAUAAUAUUAAUUAUUGCAUGAUAAUUAAUUGAAAGGUGCAAUUGCACCACUACCAGAUGGACCUGCGUUGUAUUAGCUAGUAGGUGAGGUAACGGCUCACCUAGGCGACGAUACAUAGCCGACCUGAGAGGGUGAUCGGCCACACUGGGACUGAGACACGGCCCAGACUCCUACGGGAGGCAGCAGUAGGGAAUCUUCGGCAAUGGACGAAAGUCUGACCGAGCAACGCCGCGUGAGUGAAGAAGGUUUUCGGAUCGUAAAGCUCUGUUGUAAGAGAAGAACGGGUGUGAGAGUGGAAAGUUCACACUGUGACGGUAUCUUACCAGAAAGGGACGGCUAACUACGUG
rnacentral:rRNA from 1 species